AUGAACGCUAGCGGCAGGCUUAAUACAUGCAAGUCGUACGGGAUCCGAGGUAGCAAUACUUUGGUGAGAGUGGCGCACGGGUGCGUAACACGUAUGCAACCUACCUAUAACCGGGACACAACCUCGAGAAAUUGAGGCUAAUAUCCCAUAACACUGCGAGAUGGCAUCAUUUUGCAGUUAAAACUCCGGUGGUUAUAGAUGGGCAUGCGCGACAUUAGCUAGUUGGUGAGGUAACGGCUCACCAAGGCUACGAUGUCUAGGGGUUCUGAGAGGAUUAUCCCCCACACUGGUACUGAGACACGGACCAGACUCCUACGGGAGGCAGCAGUAAGGAAUAUUGGUCAAUGGGCGCAAGCCUGAACCAGCCAUGCCGCGUGAAGGAUGACGGCCCUAUGGGUUGUAAACUUCUUUUGUACGGGAAAAAACCUCUGGUCGUGAAUCAGAGCUGAUGGUACCGUAAGAAUAAGCAUCGGCUAACUCCGUG
rnacentral:rRNA from 1 species